rnacentral:lncRNA from 1 species
AAGAUCAAAGCAGAGGAAGCCACACAAUGCAGAGAAUCAACAGUGGAGCUAUGCCUAGUGAGAAGCAAAGAGACACUGGAUGGCCUGAGAGGGAAAGAGACUGAGAAAAGCUGUCAGCUUUUAGUUCCUGGUUCCAGUCCUUUGUGACGGCCAGCUUGAUUAGAGGUUUAUAACAGUUCACUACUUCAUCUACAUCCUCAAGCCAACACCUAUGAAAAAGAUAAUGGUGUCCGAUGACAGGCCUCUGCUAACAGUGUAAGGCUAUCUGUGAACU